UAAGUUAUUUGUGUGGUUCCAUCAAUUUCAUGCUGUGUUAGCUAGCUUCCUAACCUUGUCCUUAUAUUCCAGUUCUAGCUUCUAAAGCUAUCUUUCAACCUAAUCACCUUUACCUAAAGAAGAACAUGCCCCUCUGCUCUGAGCCUUGUAGAAAUUAAACUCUCCAUUCCCAAUUACACUCUCUGUCUGCAGCAACCAUCACUACUUGCCCUUCUACGUUGAAAGGGUUUUGCAGAACCAAACCUUAGUUAUUUUCGUUGUCAUGCUAUCAUAGCUAGAGAACAUAUAUAACUGUUUAUUAAGACAUAUUUUCACUACAUUCUGCUUCAUUACAUAUCCUUGUAUGUCUUGGUUAACAUUAACAACAUAUAUCUCCUCUUAAGUUAGCUCAAAGAAUUGUUAUAAUCGUUGUAGCAUAUAUAGAGUUUAUAUUGUAGAUUUAAAUGUAGAUUGUGCAUGGUUAAGGGGUUUAAUGAGUAAAAAAUGAAAAUUAUAUAAAUUGAUUUUGAAAAAGUUGGACAAUGUUGAAUGCUUACCGAUUCAAGUGGCUGUUUGAUGAAGUGAAAGUGCCCUAGUUUCUAGAUGUAGUUGAGUACCCUUUGAUGUAAAGAGGGUUAGAAAAGCAAUCAACUGGACCCUCUCAUUGUAGUUAUCUUCAAUGACAAAGUUUUGCAUCAACUAGCUUCAUUUGCACAUACGCCAUACCUCAGCCAUUUGGAUAGAUCUUCUCCAUUAUUGUUUUUUUGUUGGUGAUGUGAUUGUGACAAACAAGAAAAACAUCCUUUGACUGAGGGUUUAUGAUCUAAGGAAGGGGAUGACUGGAGGUGCUACUUUAAUUUCGAAAUGUGGGUCAUUAUUCCUCCGUACAUGCAUGUGGAAGGGAAUGAAAAAGUUGAAUUGCGGCAUCUUGAAGAGGAAAAAUUCUAUGAUUCAGUAAUGGAAGUUUUCAAGGAAGUGGAAGAAGAGAAGGAAGAUAAUACAAAUUGCUGAUCUAUGGAGUGAAGAACGUGAUGCAAAUGAAGCUAGCUGGUGCAAAACCUGUCCUUGAAGAUAAAUAUAAUGAGAUGGUCCAUUUGAUUGCUUUUCUAACGUUCUUUAGAUCAAAGGGUGCUCAACCCACACCAAGAAACUGGAGUACACUAAGAUAAUCGAUCAGGGACUUGAAUCAGAAGACAUUCAACUUAUUGUGGAACUUUUUCAACUGGGACAUUUGAUUGCUUUUCUAAUGUUCAUUUUUUGGCUCACAAUGACAGUAUUAGUGAGAGUGUAACUAAACUAGAUUUUCUUAUCCAAUUAUCUACAACUAUUUUAGACAAA